UAAAUUCAGCGUCCUGCUCACAUGGGAAAGGCUUUCUGAGAGUCAUGGACCUCACAUGCAAGAGCAUGAAACACCUGUGGUUUUUCCUCCUCCUUGUGGCAGCUCCCAGACGGGUCCUGUCCCAGGUGCAGCUGCAGCAGUGGGGCCCAGGACUGGUGAAGCCUUCGGAGACCCUGUCCCUCACCUGCGCUGUCUAUGGUUACUCCAUCAGUAGUGGUUACUGGUGGAACUGGAUCCGCCAGCCUCCAGGGAAGGGGCUGGAGUGGAUUGGGAGAAUCUAUUAUAGUGGGGGCACCUACUACAACCCGUCCCUCAAGAGUCGAGUCACCAUAUCAGCAGACCCGUCCAAGAACCAGUUCUCCCUGAGGCUGAACUCUGUGACCGCGGCGGACACGGCCGUGUAUUACUGUGCGAGACACAGUGAGGGGAGGUAAGUGUGA